rnacentral:lncRNA from 1 species
ACACCCAAAUUGAGUGCCUCUCGUCUUAAAUCUUCCUGCGGGCGGAGAAACGCAAUUAAUGAGGGCCUGCUCUUAAGCUAAUGAGGGAGGAAAGAAGGAUGACAGUGGAAGACCCAGUAGCAUUUCUUUUUAGAAUAAUCACCAUCCUCUACAUAGAAUAUUUCGCUUCAAUUUGCUCGCAGACGUGGUCAACACACAGCACGUGCAGGAAUGUACAUGAGUGGUGGUCCAUGCUAUUCAAGUGAAAGCUUGUGAAAGUAACUGCCAGUAAUUACGAAGCAAGUGUCACCCAAAGGUUUCUUCUUCACGACUUGAUGGGACCAUCCGAGUUUUGUGCGGAUUCGUUUCAGGCUCCUUAACUGUUUCAAUAUUUGAUCUUGAUUUCGGUGGAGGAUUUGUCAGCUGUCUGCUCAUUAAAUAAAUCCAACACAAGAUGUUAAUAUAUUAUUAACAGCCACACAAUGGAAGCAACAGCUCCACCAUCGACAAAGUUCAAGGUCUCUCCGCCUAACAGUUAGUUAAUAAGUACCCGCCAAUGAAUUAAAAUCUUCGCCACCGAGGAUGUGACUGGAAAUAUUGUGUUGGGUGCAGACUUCCGACCUGUCAAAUCACAGGAGGACAAGGGUUUAUUUGUAUAGAAGCCCCACCAGGAGCAAGCUGUGACGGAGAGCCACUCAGGCAAUUCUUAACCAAUAACAGCAUAUCGUUUUGAAAAAAAUGUCUUUCAUGUUUGAAGGGCUUCGUGCGGUGUCAAAGUAUUUCAACGCCUUAUCAGAUGUGCAUGAAGCAGAAAUAGAAUUCCUGCCUUCCUGUGACCUACCAACGCAACUUCCCAUGAGGUAUCCUUUUACUGGUAUGAGGCAGAUUACGUUUACUUUCUUCCUUUCACCCCAAUAACAUUAUUUCGUUGAGUUAUUCUUUAUUUUAACACUGAGAGUGUCAUUUUAAUGUAAAAUGGCAGAAGAUGAUAUCAGAAACACUUGCACUCAAAAACUCUGAUCCUGUUUUUCCAAGCCAUUUGUUACAGAAAAUUGAAUUUGACAUCUAAAUGAACAUCUAACUUGAUUCGACGUGGGUGAUCUGUCUCAAGGUUUAUGACUUAAUAAUAGAUGUUCUUAAACGAUAGCAAUGUUAUCCAGUCUGUGUUGAUUUAUUUAUUUUGUCUCGUUUUGUUAACUUUGGCGAGUGCGCAAUCUUGAUUAGCUGUUAGCAAUAGAUUUAUCAUCUCCCUGGGUGCGUUACAAAUCCUGGCAAAGUGAAAAUGAGGUGCUGAUAUCUCAGCUAAUGUUCUACUUCCUCAGUAUUAUCUUUGCUGAUAGGAGGUGUGUUUUAACUUAUCAGCAAAUUGAGUUUGUUUAUACAGCAACUUCUUAUUACAUCAAUGGGUGUCUGACAUGAAGAACUGAUCCUAUCGUGUCACAUCUAUCUCACAAGGUUAGCGAUUAGCGUCAAGGGUAUAUUUCCUGUGCCAGUUGUGUCAAGCGCUUGUUUUGGCUUCCAUUUCUGUUGAACGAUCACCAUUGUUUUCAUUUCGAAAUUCCGCUUGAUAAGCCAUUGAGUCAAAUGUUAUCUUUCUCUAAAUUUCAAUGUUGAUCAACGAAAAGAAAAUCAUCAAAACUGUUCAUAAUGUCUAUGGUGUAUGUAAAAAUAAUAAAGAAACAAACAAACAAACGCUUAAAAUCCUGUUGAAAAUCUUUUUGCCCGAUAUUCAUCUGUGAAAAAAAAGAACCUUCAGUCUAUCCGAUGACCCGCAGCUUAUGGUUUCUUUUCAUCUCGCAAGUCCUUCGGUCUAAACAAAACAAAUUUAUCUUCCCUGCUAUCUUCUCUUCAAUUCCCAGAUAAGACAAAUGUUGUGACUUUACUCUCUCUCUCUCUCUCUCCCUCUUAUGUUAACGUUCCAUCAUCUCAAAAAAAAGUUAGAGAUAAAUUGCCCUUAAUAUUUUAAAAGCGAACUGUUGUUAUUCGGUGUCAAAGAAAUGACAUAAUUUGUUGAGAUAUUUUAUGCAGGCGAGUUGUUCGGCGUUUGCUUUCAAAAAGGAAAAGGCUCAGAGGCGAUUAAAAGUGCGUAACCUAAUUUGUGCAACCUAACAUGUGAGAAGUAGACGACAUUUUCACGAGUCCUACAUUCACCCAGUCCCCUUCGAAGUUUCCGGUUAAGAUAUGAGGAAUUAUAGACCUGAAUUUCGAUGUAUCUUGAUAACGGUUUCCAGGAAAUUCUGUCAAUUCCUUGGCUCAGUUUUGUCAGUAAGACAAUACUUCGAGAAAGCACAAGAUAAAUUUGUUCUUCAAACAAUUAAAACUGUCAUAUACGAUUACAACACAAUCAUAUGAUUCCACCAUUGCACACAGCCGUUAUCUGUUUCUCGACAAGAGGCGUUCCCCGAUUGUACUCCUGAAAUUGCGACUCGUCACACUUUUUCCCACGGUAAAAAAAUUUUAAUAGCUGGUACAUGAGAGUGACAAUUGGCACAUCAAAUAAAUGAAAUUAAUUUUCCACCAUAAAGCCUUGAUUACCAAGAGAAAGGGUUUUAAUGGAAGUGUUAAUAAAGCUUUCGUAAAGAACUAAUUUUCCACCCAAAACCAGUUCUUGAGAAAGCUAAAUAAUUCGACUGCUACUGUAAAUCACACUUUCGUUUUGAGCACUACGGGUAAUGAAGAAACAAGAACUACUUCACUCGAACAAUGCGAAAACAAAGGCACUUGCCAAGCCAUAGAGCUUCAAUUCUUUUACGCUCAUUAUCCUUACUAAUCCCCCAAAUGCCAUCUUUAGAUUAAAAAUGCUACCAAAAGCACGCGUUGAAAAAAUCUAAACAGGUGACUCUGGCGCGACGUAACAGGUGUGUUGCGUGGAUCAAUAGCUUCACUGCUGCGAAUUUCACUAUGAAAGCAGUAUUAUGCAAUAGCAUUUAUGAACACGCAACUCCUGCACUGCCUAUGAGGUCCUCUC